GAGGGUAGAGCUCAGUGUUAGAGCAUGUGUCUAGCAUGCAAGACGUCCAGGGUUCAAUCCCCAGUAUCUCCA
rfam:Camelus ferus unplaced genomic scaffold scaffold71, whole genome shotgun sequence.